rnacentral:rRNA from 1 species
AUGAGUUAAGUAUAAACCCCUUUACAAGUAUCAAUUGGAGGGCAAGUCUGGUGCCAGCAGCCGCGGUAAUUCCAGCUCCAAUAGCGUAUAUUAAAGUUGUUGCAGUUAAAAAGCUCGUAGUUGGAUUUCUGUUAAUAAUUUAUAUAAUAUUUUAACGAUAUUAUAUAAUAUUAACAUAAUUCAUAUUACUAUUUGAAUAGUAUAUGAAAUUUUACUUUGAGAAAAUUAGAGUGCUUAAAGCAGGCAUUAGCCUUGAAUACUCCAGCAUGGAAUAAUAUAAAAGAUUUUUAUCUUUUUUAUUGGUUCUAAGAUAAAAAUAAUGAUUAAUAGGGACAGUUGGGGGCAUUUGUAUUUAACAGUCAGAGGUGAAAUUCUUAGAUUUGUUAAAGACAAACUAAUGCGAAAGCACUUGCCAAGGAUGUUUUCAUUAGUCAAGAACGAAAGUUAGGGGAUCGAAGACGAUCAGAUACCGUCGUAGU